AUGGAGAAAUUUGAAAUGUUAGUAUCUCUUUUGAGAAGAGAGGAAAGGAUCAUGCUGGACUAUAUUUUUCUGAAUGGAUUAAAAGAAGAGAUUCAAGCUGAGCUUAAACUCCAUGAGAGUCAAAGCCUAGCAGAACUGAUGUACAUGGUCUUAAUAAUUGAAGAAAAAAAUGAAGUGUUGCAGAAGAAGGGUGGCUCUUGGAGAGAUAGAGGAGGACUCGGAAAGCUCAAAGAUCUUGUAGAAAUUGGAGGAUCUAAGAAGGAAUGGGAAAGAGUUAGUAGUGGGGGAAAUGAGAGAUACAAGGGCAGGAUAUAA